AGCAGCCGCGGUAAUUCCAGCUCCAAUAGCGUAUAUUAAAGUUGCUGCAGUUAAAAAGCUCGUAGUUGAAUUUCGGGACCAAUAUGUCGGUCGUGCCUCGGUACGUACUGGCAUCGUUGGUUUCUCCCUUCUGACGAACCAUGAUGUCAUUUAUUUGGUGUCGUGGGGAAUCAGCACUGUUACUUUGAAAAAUUAGAGUGUUUAAAGCAAGCUAACGCUUGAAUACAUUAGCAUGGAAUAAUGAAAUAGGACGUUCGAUCCUAUUUUGUUGGUUUCUAGGAUUGACGUAAUGAUUAAUAGGGAUAGUUGGGGGCAUUAGUAUUCAAUUGUCAGAGGUGAAAUUCUUGGAUUUAUUGAAGACUAACUACUGCGAAAGCAUUUGCCAAGGA
rnacentral:rRNA from 1 species